rnacentral:lncRNA from 1 species
GCCUUACUUGUGUUGCUCAUUUAUCUCUCUUUUUAUAAAUGAUUCUGAUGUAACCGUUGAGUACGUGGUCCCGCUUUUUAUGGUGCUAAAUUAUCGGACCAUAAUCGUGGAGUUAGUGGACUGUUUAUUCUCAUUAAUGGUCGUGACACGUAGUCGAUAAUCGUUUAUAACGGUUAGAGUGUAUUGAGCAGAUAGACCGACUAUAUGUCGGUAAUACUGAUAAGUCGGUAGUAGACUCGAAUGAGCAUCAGUUGGUAACUCUGAUAUACCAAUGGUCCUCGAUCGAAAGUUAAUCAAAUUGUUAGUUGAUGGUUGAUAGUAGUCGACUGUAGGUCGGUUCACCAAUCGUAAGUCAGCGUAAUGUGUUCAUGCGGUCAAUGUACAAUCAGAGUCAG